AUUGAACGCUGGCGGCAGGCCUAACACAUGCAAGUCGAGCGGCAGCGGAAAGUAGCUUGCUACUUUGCCGGCGAGCGGCGGACGGGUGAGUAAUGUCUGGGAAACUGCCUGAUGGAGGGGGAUAACUACUGGAAACGGUAGCUAAUACCGCGUAACGUCGCAAGACCAAAGAGGGGGACCUUCGGGCCUCUUGCCAUCAGAUGUGCCCAGAUGGGAUUAGCUAGUAGGUGGGGUAACGGCUCACCUAGGCGACGAUCCCUAGCUGGUCUGGGAGGAUGACCAGCCACACUGGAACUGAGACACGGUCCAGACUCCUACGGGAGGCAGCAGUGGGGAAUAUUGCACAAUGGGCGCAAGCCUGAUGCAGCCAUGCCGCGUGUAUGAAGAAGGCCUUCGGGUUGUAAAGUACUUUCAGCGGGGAGGAAGGUGUUGAGGUUAAUAACCUCAGCAAUUGACGUUACCCGCAGAAGAAGCACCGGCUAACUCCGUGCCAGCAGCCGCGGUAA
rnacentral:rRNA from 1 species